AGAAUGACAGCCAUGUGAAAUGUACCUCCCAAGAUUACUUUGGAAAAUACCCCACCUCAGUAUCUACAACAGGACUGUGUUCUUACAGCAACCCAGUUGCUCACUCUGGCAAGGUCUCAGUUGAAGGAACAAGACUAGAGUACAGAAGAAAGCCUAUUCUAUUUAUUGCACCUGGCCCAGUUCAUUUUGUUCUCCAAGAAAAAGUGACUUGGGCCUAGACAAGAGCAACUUCCUCUGAAAAUCAGCAUGUAAUUUCUUCAGGACUCAAACUACGAUGUGGGAAAUCCAGCUUGCCCAUAAAGGGGCAACGAAUGGAAGAGAAUGCCCUUGAGGAAUCCUGCAGGCAGAAAGCCAAGGAUCCCAUAGCUCCUCUCACGCAAAAGGCCACGAGGUGCUGCUGGUGCUGCUUGCUCUGAUGCAGUCAGCACUGCCAGUGCCAACAUUCUCCUAAUCCUGAUACCUGCUGUAGUAAAGUGGCAGGGCUGACAAGGGGCUGGAGCAGCUGCUCUCAUGCAGCACUGAUCCUGCUGUUCUGCAUUGCUGGGUGAGGCAGAAGUCUGGCCAUGAG